GAUAAACGCUGGCGGCGUGCCUAAUGCAUGCAAGUCGCACGGGGUGUCACUUCGGUGGCGCCGAGUGGCGAACGGGUGAGGAACGCGUGGACAACCUACCCCGGCGUGGGGGAUACCCGCCAGAAAUGGCGGCUAAUACCGCGUACGGUCGCCGGACGACGGGUUCGGCGAAGAAAGCAGCGAUGCGCGCUGGGAGGGGUCUGCGGCCGAUUAGCUGGUUGGCGGGGUAGUGGCCCACCAAGGCGAUGAUCGGUAGCUGGUCCGAGAGGAUGAUCAGCCACACGGGGACUGAGACACGGCCCCGACUCCUACGGGAGGCAGCAGCAAGGAAUUUUCCGUCAAGUGGGGGCAACCCUGACGGAGCAACGCCGCGUGACGGAUGACGCCUCUUGGGGUGUAAACGUCUUUUGGCCGGGGGAGAGAACGGGACGGUACCCGGCGAAUCAGGACCGGCUAACUACGUGCCA
rnacentral:rRNA from 1 species